rnacentral:rRNA from 1 species
UACGUAGGGGGCAAGCGUUGUCCGGAAUCAUUGGGCGUAAAGAGCGUGUAGGCGGCCAGAUAAGUCCGCUGUGAAAUCUCGAGGCUCAACUUCGAGCUGUCGGUGGAAACUGUCUGGCUAGAGUCCGGAAGAGGAGAAUGGAAUUCCUGGUGUAGCGGUGAAAUGACGCAGAUAUCAGGAAGAACACCCGUGGCGAAGGCGGUUCUCUGGGACGGUACUGACGCUGAGACGCGAAAGCGUGGGGAGCGAACAGG